rnacentral:lncRNA from 1 species
AGUUGUUUCAGCAAAGCUUGAUGAUGCUAUAAAUCGAUUUGGUGCAAUCUUUUCUCCAUUAAUGUAUCCUUCAAGUCGAUUUCCUCUAAUGGAGGCCAGGACUUGAUUUUUCCAAAGCAUGUAGUUAGAUCUAUCUAAUUUGAUUGGUGUGAUGAAAGAAAAAGUUGUUUGAUUUGCAGCUACUGUAUUUUGAUUGUUUGUGAUUGCCAUGAUUGGCUCUGAUACCACGAAGAAAUUGUAAAAAUGGAUAAAUGCUGUUGUUUGGUAGCUAAGAA